rnacentral:rRNA from 1 species
UACGGAGGGAGCUAGCGUUGUUCGGAAUUACUGGGCGUAAAGCGUGCGUAGACGGUUAUUUAAGUCGGGUGUGAAAGCCCCGGGCUCAACCUGGGAAUUGCAUUCGAGACUGAAUAGCUAGGGUGCGGAAGAGGGAAGCGGAAUUUCCGGUGUAGCGGUGAAAUGCGUAGAUAUCGGAAGGAACACCAGUGGCGAAAGCGGCUUCCUGGUCCAGCACCGACGUUCAGGCACGAAAGCGUGGGGAGCAAACAGG